rnacentral:lncRNA from 1 species
UAAAUGAAUGGUUGUGAUUAGUUUGUAUCAUGUAUAAAUACCCCAUCUCCCCUUUGGUUUAAGUAUCAAGGGAAGUAACAAAAUCUCUAAGGUGUAGAGAGUGAAAAAUAAGAGUUGUAAUUGGUAAGGAGUGUUGUUGAAGAAAUAAAAUUGUGUGUUUUGUGUGUUUUAUUUGUAAACUCUCCAACAAUAUUAACGCUAGUAGAAGGGCAUUAAUGUUGCUUUAUUAAUUGGCAGGCCAACGAGCCAUUUAAUUGAGAAAAUGAAAAAUUUUCUCAUUUUAAAUGAAUUUCUUUUUUAGUCUUAGGGUUAGUGGGAUAUUAUCAGUUAAACCAAUUAGUAACCAGAUUGUGUUGCAAUAGAAACUGAUCACGAAAUAGAUUCUAUAAUUGUAGUGCUUCAUCAUGAGGAUACCGAUUUAAAAGUUAAUUUGUAUACAGUAACAAAUAUAGAAAUGGCAAAUGGAUAGGACCGUCAGGCCAUUGUUGACUUAAGCCAAGUAAAAAGUCCGGCCUUCGCUUGUCUAGUUGGGCCUGACUUUUUUCAGGCCUAGAUAUUUAGCAAAUUUUAAAUAUUUUUUAGUAGUUAAAAAAUAUUUAACUUUUAAAUGUUUUUAGAAGGCUUUGGGAUUGGCCCUUAAAUUUUUUUGCUUUAAUUGAGUGCAUUCAGAAUUGGAAAUAUUUAAAAAGAAAAAAGAAACAAAAAUAAAUUUUAACUCUAUAAAAAAAAUAACAUGAGUAAUGAUAUUUAACGCCUUCACUUUUCUCAUUAACCCCUCAAUAAUCAUUUUUAAUUUAAUUUUCAUUUCUCCUUGAAUGAAAUUACUCAAAAAGGAUUAAAUUGAUUUUUUCAAUUAAUCAGCAAUACUUCUAAUGACAUGGCCUGAAUCAUUAAAGGGGAAUCCAAUGAUGAUCCUUAGAUAUAACUCACAAAUAAACUCGGCGAAAGCAUUAAAACUAAUAAACUUUAAAAGCCUCUAUACCAUAUAUAAAAACAUUCAAUGCUUGAAUAGUAGAAAACUUUAAAAUUUACUAAAUCAUCUACUAUCCUUAAUUCAAGUUCUUCUCCUCACACAUCAUUAAUCAAUCUACAUCUCUAGGAAUCACAGUAAACUAAAGCGACUACAAUACGCAAUAAGCAAAUCAGUUUUUCAUAUACCACAAUACAUAUAUACUUAUCUACAAUGCAAAUGUAUGAUUUGCAAUGCUCUUUGAAAAACAUCAUAAAAAUUCUUCAAAAGCGUCAUUUAUCACUUUCCAACUUUACAUUUCCUUUUAGAUCACUUACUUGAACUACAUUUAUCAGUAGCUACUUAAUAGGACUCUUACUUAAAUUCAUACUUCCUCACUUUGGGCAUGACGCAAUCUUCCUUCAACCAAUUAUCUCAUAACAUGACAUUUGAGUGCCUACUAAGCGAAUAAAGUAUCCAAGUAAAACAUAAAAUUUAUUUAUUUUCCUCAAAACGAGUUUGUCACCUUCUCAUUUCAUAAAGGCAUAUUCAUGCCCUGGUACAUAAUCACACUUGACAUAAAACAACACAUCAAAUCGGGAAGGUAGCUGCUGANNNNNNNNNNNNNNNNNNNNNNNNNNNNNNNNNNNNNNNNNNNNNNNNNNNNNNNNNNNNNNNNNNNNNNNNNNNNNNNNNNNNNNNNNNNNNNNNNNNNGCCUGCUAGCAUGCUGAAUGCUAGGCGGUGAGUCCGUCGACAUCAAAUAAAUGCAUGAGCAAAAUUAGAUAAAUUCAAAUCCAUACAUAUCAAAAUAGGCUUUCUAACAUAUCAAACAUUUACUUAUUCUUAUUGUGAUUCAUUUAGAAAUCUAGUUUACUUACCUCUCGACGGUUACAAUAAUAAGCUUAACCUUGUAAAUUAACCACCUUAAUCUAACAUCGAAAUUGAAUUCCUGUCAAUAUCCUCACAUAUAUAUAAAAUUAUAGGCUCCAUUCUUUUUAAGGAACUAUUUCCUAUAACCUUAUACAUCUUGAUGUCCCUUUUUUAAAGUAUCAGAAAGUUACUGACCAGCUUUCAAUCUCUAAUUUUUAUUAAAUAAAAAACUAACUCAAAAAUCAUGAAUUUUAUAGGGCUUAAAUGGUCACAUAAAUAUAAAAGUAGUAAAAUUUUCAAAGUCAAAUUCAUUCAAAAUCUAUUUCAAAUGAAUUUUGUUCUAAGACUUGUAAAUCCUGAAAUUCAGAAUUCAACAUCGAAGACCUUUCACACAUCGAUUAAUAUAUAUAGGGAAUUAGGGUCCUAAUUUUGGAUGUGAUAUACAAGACAUAUAGAAGGGUAAACCUAAAAAGUUCCACAAUCUUUUGAGAAGGUUUAUUCGGCCUAAACAUUUUUUCCAUCUUGCAACAUUGAUGUAAAUUUUGUAGAAUCGCAGAGCCUAAUUUGUAAAUUUAUUAAAAAUAGAAUAUAAGUGAUUUUUAGAUGGAAAAAAGUUAUAUGUCACCCUCAAGAUGCCUAGCUUCACCAAAUAUAAAAAAUCCUCAUCGAUCAAAGUACAUAAUCUUAAAUAAUUUUAGGAGUUAGUGACUAAUUUUUAGAGUGAGUGACCAUCAUAAAAAUUGUACACAUUUCAUUAAUCUACAUGGUUUUAAGUAUUAAUAAUAAUUUCCCAACAUAUAAUACCACGAAAUCAUACAAUAACAUAAAGAUUCAAAAUGUCCAAAUUUAUCUUAAAGAUCAAACACAAUAAUUUUGAUUUUAUACAAGAAAUAGAGUGUCCAAAUAUCAUAAAAAUUCAUAGCUUAAGCAUCUCCACAUUUUUUUAACACCUUUGUUUCUUGAAUGAUAAAAACAAAACAAAAAACAAUUUAGCUAUACUCUCUAUUGAAUCUCUCCUAGCCGAUCGAGGAAGAUGGAGCUCCCUUUUUUUUCUCUUCAAUUUUUCUAUUUACAGUUUGAGUUUUUAUUAGUGGGCUUGAUUGAGCUCAAUUGUACUUGACUUAAAGACAGUGAGAAGCGAUAUUUGACCCCCUACGUUAUCUCAUUAAUCUCCGCUUUUUAAUUAAUCAACUUGUUUCAAUAAUUUCCUUUAUUAAAAAUUAAUUAUUACUUUUAAUUUCUUUUUUUUCUUUUCUCUCUCAUACUUGAUUUGCUCAUGGAAAAAUGAAUUUCUUUGUUUGAACAAAGGAAAAUCUACGCUUGAAUAUUGAUAGAUGGAAUUGGAAAGCUUUUUAUUUGCCAAUAUUGCUGAAGAUAUAAGCUAACCAAAAGAGAGUGACACAUAUCACAAAUAAGAGAAGAGAAAUUCUCAUGUAGGAAUUAUUUCUCCAUUCCCACCCAUUUCCCAUUUAUUUAUUUUACGGUAAAUAUGAAUACAUGAUUUCAAUAAAUUAAAAAAUAAAACUAUCACCAUAUUAUAAAUUAUUUAAAUUAUUUAAAAGGAACUCUAAAACUUUGAAACAAUAUCUUAAAAUAAUAUCAAAACUGAAAAAUAUUUUAAAAGAGCAACAC